GUGCUGUUUGUGUGCUGUGUGUGAGGGUGCUGUGUGUGUUUGUGAGGGUGCUGUAUGUGUGUGUGGGUGCUGUAUGUGUGUUGGUGCUGUGUAUGUCUGUGGGUGCUGUGUAUGUCUGUGGGUGCUGUAUGUCUGUGGGUGCUGAAAGUGUGUGGUGCUGUGUAUGUCUGUGGGUGCUGUAUGUGUGUGGGUGCUGUUUAUGUCUGUGGGUGCUGUAUGUGUGUGGGUGCUGUAUGUGUGUGGGUGCUGUGUAAGUCUGUGGGUGCUGUGUAUGUCUGUGGGUGCUGUGUAUGGGUGCUGUAUGUGUGUGGGUGUGCUGUGUGUCUGUGGGUGCUGUAUGUCUGUGGGUGCUGAAUGUAUGUGGGUGCUGUGUAUGUCUGUGGGUGCUGUAUGUGUGUGGGUGCUGUGUAUGUCUGUGGGUGCUGUGUAUGUCUGUGGGUGCUGUGUAUGUCUG